UAAACGAAAGUGUUCCACAGGAAGACAUUCUUCUUCGCUGCCGUCUAUUGUCUUUAAUCUUGAUUUUUAAAGGUGACUGGGUGAGUGACCGAGGGAGUGAGUGAGUCAGGAGACUUAAAGCCACUCUUCGCGCAGCACUCUGAGACGUUUCCGCCCACAAGAAAGAUGGCGGCUCCCUUGAUGGAGAAAUUAGCGGAGUCGUUAGGUUCCCCGGAGCCAGCGGUUCGACUCAUUUUAUCUAUUUUAAUCGGUUACCCGUUUGCUGUGGUUUACAGACGCUUCUUGUUCCACCAGUCUUCCACCGUCAUUCAUUUAUUCCACGCAGUCACUGGACUGGCUCUAGCAGCAUUCAACUUUGGCGCUCAGCUCUGUCACUCUGCAGUAUGUAUCCUGGUGCAGUUCCUGAUGUUGAGGCUGAUGGGACGGACGGUAACCACCGUUCUGAGCAGCUUUACUUUUCAAAUGGUGUACCUGCUGGCAGGGUAUUAUUACACAGCAACAGAGGAGUACGACAUCAAGUGGACGAUGCCUCAUUGUGUCCUGAUGCUGAAACUCGUUGGUUUGGCGUUCGAUUUUUAUGACGGUGCAAAAGACCCAUCUCAGUUGAGUGCAGAGCAGAAGAAAGCAGCUCUGGCGUCCGCGCCUUCUCUGCUGGAGGUGUGCGGCUUCUCCUACUUUUAUGGAGGCUUUUUGGUGGGUCCCCAGUUUACACUACGAAGCUACCAGAGGCUGGUGGCAGGGGAGCUCACCGACUGCCCCGGGAAGCCCCCGAACAGCAUUAUUCCCGCCCUGAAGAGGUUUACUCUGGGCUUCUUCUUCCUGGUGAUUUAUACAAUAUUUGGUCCUCAUUACCCAGACAGCUACUACCUAACAGAUGAGUACGAGGCUCAGCCCUUCUGGUAUCGCUGUGUGUUUAUUCUGCUCUGGGCCAAAGUCAUCCUCUACAAAUACGUCAGCUGUUGGGUUAUAGCUGAGGGGGUGUGUAUACUGACGGGCCUGGGCUACAACGGCGUGGUGGACGGACAGCCGCAGUGGGACGCCUGUGCCAACAUCAAAGUGUGGCUCUUUGAAACCACGCCGCUCUUUGGAGGAACCAUCGCGUCCUUCAACAUCAACACUAACGCCUGGGCUGCCAGGCAUGUUUUCAAGCGUUUGAAGUUCCUGGGAAACAAGACUCUGUCCCAUGUGGCCACACUGGUGUUCUUGGCCAUCUGGCACGGCCUGCACUCGGGCUACAUCCUCUGCUUCUCCAUGGAGUUCUUCAUCAUCACUGUAGAGAGACAGGCCCAGGCUCUGGUGCGGGACAGUCCGUCGUUGACGAAGUUGGCCAACAGCGCCCUCUACCCUGUCAUCUAUGUAGUGCAGCAGUUCAUACACUGGCUCUUCAUGGGCUACCCUCUGGUGGCGUUCUGCCUCUUCACUUAUGACAAAUGGUUAAAGGUGGGAAUAGACGUCAACCAGAUGGGCCUUUUUAUACUCUGCCCCCUAGUGUUAAUUAUCCUGCCUGUCAAUGUCGUGUCGACUAAACAGGACAAAUUAUUCACAGGAAAAAAAAAAGUUUUUAGACCAAUGUUGUGAAUUUGGAUCAUUUUCCACCUGAGGAGCCGCACCCCACGUUUGAGAAUUCUCUGUCAUGACACGGAGUGGCGUUUCUCCAGUUUGGGGUCAUUACAGGUCAAUCUAACGUGAUCUGAUGUGGUCGAGUCAGUCAGGUGGAGUAGAGUUCAUUUGGCGAAGGCUGAUCAAAUGAGUCGGCGGUCGUUUGUUCCUUUGUCUCUCUGCAGGUUUACAGGUCCAUCUAUUUCUGCGGUCACCUCUUCUUCCUGGUGGCCUAUUUAGCCAUGCCGUACCUGCGGAAGGUUCUGGUGCCUAAGAACGAACGCAGCCAGAAAAAGCAGGAGUAAAACUUGAGUCCUGACUGAGGCAAAAAAAAAAAAAAACUUCACUGAAGGGAACUGUGACUUUCAAGGAGAAGAAAGGAUAAAAUUUAAGGCCUUUAGUAAUAUAUAAAUAUAUGUGUCCAUGUAAAAAUAAAUUUCUAUAUAUUUUUGUGUUUUAAAUGGGGAGGGUGUUUUUAUAAACAUUCAGAGAAAUGUUUACAGGAAAUGACCAUCGUGCCACGUGGGGUGUUUGUGAGCCAAUCAGGGGUGAUUUCCUGUUAGUUUCUUCUUCGUGUGUUCACCUUUAAGACACGCCAGACGUGACGGAUUCACAUGGUGUCGAUACAGAAUUGCACUCACGUUCACGGGUUCAGAGUCGCCCGCGGGCUCUGUUGUUUUUAUGUUUUGUUUUGUUUUUUCCUGACGACACCUGGAAUCCGCCGCGGCCUCUCUGUGGAAGGUCGGCGCUCGGUGCUGGCGUUUCGUCCUAAACACGUCAAACGUACUGCGCUCCGUUUAAGCCACAAAAAAGACGAUAAGCUGGGACGAGCGACGAACACACCACGAAGCGUCACACACUCCCAGGAUGGCCUUGUAUCCUUGAAUGUUUUUACACUUGGUUUGAGUUUGAUUUUAUAAAGUCCCCGCAGGUUUUAUUAGAAGAAGAAACAACUUUUUGUAGCUUUGAUGACAUGUUGUGGAUGAGUGUUCGCCUCGGACUCACCUGAUGUUGUAGCUGUUUGUUGCCACACGUCCCCGUCUCCCCCGUCUCCCCCGUCUCCUGACUCCACUCCACUUUUAAAAAGGCACAAAUAUCAACGUUGUUGAUUCCAAACCAGAGACUUCUUCACUGCCUAAUCCAUCAGAUUGUUCUUCAUUCUGCGUCGCCCGGAGUUUGACACCAGGUUCCUGCUGUCUUCUGAAUUUUUUUUUUUUUAUUAUGGAGGGACAAACGACAAGAAAAUGACAAAUCUUGAAAUGUCCCUCGUGUUGAAGCAGAACGAUGCGUUCACUUCUCCCAUCGUUGUUGAGUUCCUUCUUUAAUUAACCCGGUGGCUCACAGGCCGCAGGUGAUUGGUGCAGAGCCCGUAUGCUGAGCGCUACGACCUCACCGCGGUCACAGACUUUAUAUGAGAGAGAUUUAAACAGCUGAUGAUUUUUAAUCCGGUGUGAAAUUCCUGAGACUGAUUCUGCCUUUUUCACAUGUACGAUAGAAAAUCUGGAAAUAAUGAAGGGGAGUAAUUUUUUUUUCUUCCAAUACACUUUUAUAUCUUCAUUAAAAUUAUGCAUUUUGGGAAAA